ensembl:piRNA 21ur-11785 ncRNA
UAAAAAGGUAAUCUUUAAAAG